CAGUAGCCGCGGAAUACAGAGGGUGCGAGCGUUAAUCGGAUUUACUGGGCGUAAAGCGUGCGUAGGCGGCUUUUUAAGUCGGAUGUGAAAUCCAUGAGCUUAACUUAGGAAUUGCAUUCGAUACUGGGAAGCUAGAGUAUGGGAGAGGAUGGUAGAAUUCCAGGUGUAGCGGUGAAAUGCGUAGAGAUCUGGAGGAAUACCGAUGGCGAAGGCAGCCAUCUGGCCUAAUACUGACGCUGAGGUACGAAAGCAUGGGGAGCAAACAGGAUUAGAUACCCCUGUAGUCCCUGUCUCUUAUACA
rnacentral:rRNA from 1 species